CAGUCCGCAUGUUCACGGUGCAUUUUUUAUGGAAUAUGUUGAGCAAACCUGGAGAAGUGUCAGCUCAAGAUAUUAUUGUUGUCAUUGCUGUGGAUCUUUACCUGAUACACUGACUUGGCUCGGGACCAGCACUCCUGUUGUUGGACAGAAAGACAUCAACUUGAGAUAUGACUGCACUAUGCUGUUGCUGGUGACCACAGUUAAUUCUACAAGACAUGCUGUGCCACCAGGAGAGAUGAGUCCUCUGUCACAGAUGGUGUGGUCAGUGAAGAUGGUCGCCUGCAGGUUCAAGCUCAUUGCAUCUCCAACCCACAUCCACUGCCACUGUACUUAAGGGAAGUUAAAGACUUUCUUCUGCACUUACAUUUGGAUCACCUCGAUCCAUGACAAUCAUUCAGGCAGUAAUGCCUGGACUGGAAACAAGCCAUCCUUAAAAUAAUACAACAUUCCAGCUCAUGUGUUGGAAUGGAAAACAAAUGUGUUGUUUAAAUCAGAGACUGCACUUGUGACAGAACAACAAAUAUUUUAUUUUGAUUAUAUAAGUAAUGUAAGUACAAAACAAACUUGUGGUAGGCCUAAACUUAUUUUCAGAAUAAUUACAUCUGAGACUUUGUUUCAUUGUAAGAUUAUAACAGUGAUGGCAAUAUAAUUGUUUGUUGUUCAGCAGAACAGUGUCCAGUAUGUUGGCUGUUAUACUUUGUUGUGUUUGAAAAUAAAAGUUGGGCUCAUUUUAACAUCAUUACAAAAAUUGUUGUUAAUUAUUUUUAAUCAUAUUCAUGGUACCACAAAUUGUUUUUUCAUUUAGUUGAACUUAACAUGUGUGUCAGUAGGUAAACAAUUAGUAUUGUACAGUCAGAAAUAUCAAGUUAUUGUU
ensembl:lncRNA